rnacentral:lncRNA from 1 species
GUGAGCAGUGUGGGUCAGGCACUGUGCCAGGCGUUCAAACAAUAAGCAACAGCACUAUGCAAAUUGCCCUUGUCUCCACUAAUGGAAGCUGCAAAGCACCAUGCCUGGAACACGGUGCCCGGGGAAGGAAGUAAUCUAGCCCUGGCAGCUGUUAAACCAGGAAGACUCAGAAUGUUGGAAGUAACUAUGUCAACUGAGAGGACUUGCCCAGAGUUAAUAGGACCUAUGAUGCCCAUUGACUUAACUUUUAUUGGAACCCUGCCCUGGAACCUGGGACUCUUACAUCUUCCUGUUGUGGAUGAUGGUGAUUGGAGCUGAGGGAAUGAGUCUGAGACUUCCUGAAGCUGAGGGGUCUUUUGGGUGAGACCAGACCACAAGAGGCAGUUGGGACCAUUUUUCUUUCCCCUUGCUCAUUGAUAGGAUCUUAACACAAAGUCCUCUGUCCCCUACCUUAACUGUUAGACAUUUACUUCAUUCUCCACUUCUGAGAAAAGCGAUUUGUCCUUCCCUGGCUAUUAGACAAAAAUGGAUUGUAUCUAAGCUUUUGUUUUCUAACUGUUAUCUUUAAACUCUUAUGCAUUUCAUCUUUUGAUAUAAAACUAGUGGC